CCGCCGGCGACCGGCGCACGGGUGAGUAACACGUAUGCAACCUGGCCGUGGCAGAUGGAUAACCGGGAGAAAUCCCGCCUAAUACAACAUAAUGCCGGGAGGGGACAUCCCCUGCCGGCCAAAGGGGGCGACCCCGGUCACGGAUGGGCAUGCGGCGCAUUAGGUAGUUGGUGGGGCAACGGCCCACCAAGCCGACGAUGCGUAGGGGUUCUGAGAGGAAGGUCCCCCACAUUGGAACUGAGACACGGUCCAAACUCCUACGGAAGGCAGCAG
rnacentral:rRNA from 1 species